rnacentral:rRNA from 1 species
GACGAACGCUGGCGGCGUGCUUAACACAUGCAAGUCGAACGGAAAGGCCUCUUUCGGGGGGUACUCGAGUGGCGAACGGGUGAGUAACACGUGAGUAACCUGCCCUUGACUUUGGGAUAACUUCAGAAAACUGGGGCUAAUACCGGAUAGGAGCUCCUGCUGCAUGGUGGGGGUUGGAAAGUUUCGGCGGUUGGGGAUGGACUCGCGGCUUAUCAGCUUGUUGGUGGGGUAGUGGCUUACCAAGGCUUUGACGGGUAGCCGGCCUGAGAGGGUGACCGGCCACAUUGGGACUGAGAUACGGCCCAGACUCCUACGGGAGGCAGCAGUGGGGAAUAUUGCACAAUGGGUGGAAGCCUGAUGCAGCAACGCCGUGUGCGGGAUGACGGCCUUCGGGUUGUAAACCGCUUUCGCUCAUGACGAAGCUUUGUGUGACGGUAGUGGGUAAAGAAGCACCGGCUAACUACGUG